AUGCUAUUCGCCCUUGAUCCCUGGGAAUUAUUCCACCGACUACUGACGUAAAAGGAGCCUGGGCAGGCUGGCUGCUGCAAAACCUACUCUUCACAAAAUGUCGGACUUGCAGGUCCUCAGAAGCACGAACCAUGUGCUCUGUUCCUCUCCCUAAAGCCACUGACACUUGCUGAGGUAAAGUGAGCAAGGUGUGUGUUUGCAGAGUGAAUAUCCCGGUGGAACCCACUGUAAAGCCCAGCAAGCAUGUAGGACUCCAGUCUACACAUGAGGUUAACACUGAAAGUGUUUUACAAGUGUUCUGAGAACAGACUCUCCCUUUGGAUAUGUGGAGACUAGAGGGUCCUCCUCGGCCUGCACACUGAAUCAUCUGGUCCCAGAGCAGAACAUGCAGCUCGGCUGAGAUGUACCGGGUGACCACAGAGAGACAAGGAAUGUGACCAAAAGUUUGGGACUCUUUGGAUAAGUGCCACUGAACACAGACCCCUGGAAACAGGGAUAUGCUUUCUGGAUUGUUGUCCACACAAUGGAAAACUUGGGGAACAUGAGCCCGCUUCCUCUUAAGAUGUCUCGCUGUGAACUAUUAGAAUACCAAAAGGCUAAUAUAUGCAUCCACGGGGCAGAGGGGAGCAUUUCAGCCCACAUUUCACACUGCAGUAAUCAAUUCAUCGGUUUAAAAAAAAAAAGAAAAAAGAAAGGCGCCUGCUCUUUCCUUGUCCAGCUGCAGCAGGCAGGGGCUGGAACAUAUGCCCGUCUGAAAGAGGAGGAGGGGAGCCGGGCCUCUCAGGAGACGCCGCACAAAGAAAGCCAAUCUUCUCCACAAAGCGUGGAAUGACUUAAACACUCUAUUGUAUUAAAUAUGAAUGAGCCCUCAUUGUGGAGCACAGUGUGUGGGGACCCGGGGUGUCCUCCCAUUAGCCACGUGAUUAACCGGAUUACACCGGGAAGCCGCGACAGUAAACGCGGGGAGCCUUCUGUCACUUCCUCGACGAGGGGCUGAGGAGCUGGACCCUUUGUGGUCAACUGGGCGGAAAGAAGAAAUAACCAUGAAUGUCAUGCUUGGUAAUUAAAAAAAAGAGAAAGAGAGACAGACAGACAGAGAGAAAGAAAGUUGUCUCCAGGGACCAUCUAUGAGAAACAGUGUGAAAACAUCUUUCUGAGCAACUAACACAUCAGUAUUGUUCCCUUUGACCACAUAGGACUCAUCUAACCCGUCCUAAACAGGGUCCUGUAUUUCCCUUUUGUGGUCAGGGCGAUAAAAAAAAAAAAGCCAUGAAUUAAAGCUGCCUAAUUCUGCUCAUUAGGGGUGAGACCCCAUUCUUCUGGGCCCCCAGAUCUGCUAGCCUCAGCUUCUCUUUCCUCUAUGUGUGGGUCUCUCUUCUCUCCGUUUCCAUCCACUUCCCUGUUCAUCCUCAGGACAGAUAACGACCCAUAGUUAAUUGAUUUAUGGAAAUUGCACCAAAGUUACAAUUCUCAUAGCAGCUUGAGCUUUGAGAAAACGCAGGGAAAUGGUUAACACUGCGCCAAUGAGAGAAGUAUAUAUUAUCUGAGUUCAGGCCUGGAAAUUCAAAUAUCUUGAGUAUAAAAUGUCUUCUGGGAUAUUUUUUAGUUUAUUAAUAUGAUAUAAAGGUGAAAGACAUUUGGUGAGUCAUAUUUUAACUAAUAAAUAUUUCUAGAGAUUAGUUAUUAGUUAAAAGUCGAUUAUGUUAGAAAAAGAAAAGUCAAUCUUUAAAAAUAUAUAUCUCUAUUGGCUACAAAAUAGACUAUUUUGGUAAAGGAUAAGUUAAUAAAAAAUGAAGAGUCAAACUGAGUCUUUGGCAAACCUUAGAAGUUUUGAAUUAAUACACCUUUUAAAUAAGGAGGAAGAAUAGGUAUUUUUCCCUAACAGUCAUAAAUCCAUUGGUAAAACUGUUCAAAAAUAGUAUUGUGAGAAGUAAAUAUUUUCUUAAAUUUGUUUAUCGGUUUUGACCUUUCUCUAAAAAGUUUAUAACAACUAUGCAAGAUGUGAGUUCCUGUAACAUAAAAAACAAAAAACAGUUUUAAAACUUUUGGGCUCUAAAUAAGAUAGAUAUAUUGAAAUUUAUCUAUAUUGAUCUCAAGUAUAAAUAUAAUCACUCUUAUUUUCUGCCAUGCCUUUUAACCUAAUCAUUAAAUUAUGGUGUAGAGAGAAAGUUCUUCCAAAUGAUGAGAGCAAAAUUCUACUUUGAGAAAUAAUUUAUACUACUUUAACAAUUAAGGCAAAUGUCAAAUGAAUGGAGGCCGAAGGAAAUUUAACAAUUAAAUAAAAUAAGAGCUUUUUUUAUUAAUUGAAUAAUUCAUUGACUGAAGACAAUGUUGUUUGUUUUUUGUUCCCUCUCCUGCAUUUUCUACAUGCAAAGAGCCCUAUGCUAGGAGAAGAUUUCGAGACUUCAGGAAAUACAGAUUCCAUUGUGAGGGGCAGGUA